AGCCCCGUGGUGUAGUGGUCAAGCAUCGGGGACUCUGGAUCCCUGGACGGAGGUUCGAAUCCUCCCGGGGCUG
rnacentral:tRNA from 3 species